rnacentral:lncRNA from 10 species
GACAGACUGAGACAGUUCCCAGGACAGGAGAGUGUGUGCUCCACCAUGCCAGGCCACAUGGGGGAGCGGCAGGGUCAGUCGGGACAGCGGGAGCAAGAGCCUUUAUUCUGGUUUCCCCAGGAACAGGUGAGGCCAGGUCACAAUUCAUAUUGAUAUUUAAAUGGCAUCUGGAUGCUGCAUAUUGCAUAUUAGAAACAAAAAAAAUUGGUAAAAUCCCAAUACGAAGAGAGAGAACAAAACAAGCAGAAAAAUUAACCUGAUGGAAGCAAAUAAGAACAAAAGAAAACAAAACCUAUA